CUAGAGAAACUGCUUUGAAGGUUGGCUGAGGGCAGGGGUUUAAGAAGGAAAGCUUGAUAUGGGAGGCAUUUCACAUUGUAAUGGCCCAGCUUCAAAGCACAUUUCCAGCACCCUCCCAGGAACCGAUGUGAUUCAAAGAAGUGAAACAGCCUCUCAGAAAGGCUUACCGGGCUUAGGAUGCAGCCUGCUUGAGUUCGGUUCCUUUUCAAAGUCAGGUGCUUCUCAUCUAUCAACUGGGGGUCCCAAGAGGCAACCUCACCCAGUUAAAAAAGGAUUAAAUGCGCUUUCUAUGCAGACUUGAGGCUUUUCCCAGCAUGCAAUCUGUCAAGGGCCUGAGAUAACAAGAGGGUGGAGCCCUGCAGGAAGGCGGCCCUGGGCACCGGCAGCUGCCAGCAGAAUGGCCAGUCUGCUGCUUGUUUACACAGCAAAUUACAUUUUCCGAUAACAUAUCAUAACAGAUUAAGCCUGAAAAACACAUUCUUUCCAGGCCAGCAAGUGCUUCAGAGGAUUACUCAGCCCACAGGGCUUCUGACCUCCCUGCUCUUAAGGUCAGGGGAGCACAGGUUCCCAUCUGCCGCCUCCAGGUCCCAGUCCGAACCUGGAACGCAGCUGAUCUCAGCAUGGAGCUGCCCUGCGGUCGCCACACCCAAGAGCUGGAGCUCACUGAGGCGAGUUACUUUCUCCUGGGAGACGCAGCCAGCUCUUAUUUUAAAGCACAUAGCAUCCACCUAAAUGAAUGAGCACUUUUUUUUUCUUUCCAAUGAGCACCUUUAAAAAUUUAGUUUGGAAUGACUACAGGGGCUAAAAGCCACUUCUUGGGGCUUGGUUUUUCCAUAGAAGGAAUGCUUGAUCGCUUCAGCAGCUGAACCUGGGGAGCCACUACAUUCCUGCUGGUAAAAAAUAAAUCCAUUCCCCAGGGAGGUACCCUUGGGGUCCAGUUGCCCCAGGACCCAGGAGAGCUGGUCUUUCACGGAGAGGUCAGGAGAAGCAGGGAUAACAUGCUGUUCCAUGGGUCAUGAAUCUUGGUGGCGGAGGCUGCCCACGGGUGGCCCGUGAAAAUGUGGGGUGUCUGUUCCUCAAAGUGAUAGUGUGCCUCAUUCUAUGCCCCUGACUUAACACAGCUUCUGGACCCCACAGCCCGAACCCAUUUCUGCCCCCUCACUACUGGGGCUCUCAUUAUGUCAUCGACUGGGUGCCCCCUGUGGGGCAGAGGCUUGCAGGGAGGCCUGCCCGCCUCCCAGUGCCUGUUCUUGCGGCCUGCACAUGCGUAAAACCCACACUGCAGGAGUCAUUCCUCUGUCCAGGAAGGCUCUGCAGCCUCUUCCUCCCUUCACAAAGUCUGCCAAACUCUCACAUAGGAGAGGAACUCAUGAACCCUGCUCCACUGAGACACCCGCGGCAGAAUCGGGCCAUGUCAGAUUUGGGAUCAUUCAGCAAAUGCUUAUGGAACACUAACCUUGGCCACAUGGGCCCAGGGCUCUCAGACAUGUGGCACACGAGACAGGCAAGGGCCUGGCUUUCAGGAAAAAUUAUAUGAGUGGCAAGAAAGACCACAAAUGUUGACUUGGUGACUAUAUAGACCAGAAAAGCUCAUGGAGCGAUGGGCCUGUGACACACAGUGCAUCCUUCAGGAGCUCCUCCUUCCAGCCCAUUAGAGUCAUGGGGAGGCUGGGAAAAUGGGAAGGUCGGGGUGAGGCAGAGCAAAAAGCAAGGAGACACAGGAGGGAGUGUGCUCGCCCCCCACUCGAAGUUCAGAAAGAAGCCCUGAGAGGCUGCCCUGAGAGCCAGGGAGCGAUGAGGACUGGAAGCUGCAGGGAAGGGUUUGGCUUCUUUUCAUCUUUUCAAUGUGGAUGUGACUGGCCUCGAUCUCCCUCCUUAAGGGCUCAUUUCCUUUGUAGAGAGGAGAGUGAGAGGCCAGUCAGAAGGUGUUGGCCUGGUUCAGUUGAGAGAUGACUUUGGCAGAAGAAUCAACAGGACUGCUUUGAGACUGGAUACUGGGGCUAGGGGAAGGAGAGGGGAAGUGGGGGAGUCAGAUUCCAACGCCUGUAGGAGGAACACCCAUGAACAGAGCUUUCCUAGCUCCCUGGAUGCUUCUGUCAGCAUGGGACAGCCUAGGCCAGAAGCAAACCUGGUUUCAGUGAUGCCUGGAGGAGGAUGUGGGUAACCCCACCUGCACCUUUGCUGCAAAAUUCCCCCAGGGAUUUAGUCCUUAGCUGGAGCAAAGGUCAGACUCUCUGAUCUUCACUGACUGUGGAGAGAGGAGUGGAGUGGGUCAGAGAAUGGGCACAGAACAGACGGGAAGAAGCAUGACAGGGAAGAGGCCGCUGGGCCUAGAGCCAGCAGCAUUGCUCACACAGCUGCAGGAGCCGUUAGCUCUGUGUAUGGUUACUGUGUGACGGACUCCAGAUGCCCUCGGGAAGCCACAAGCCACUGCCCCCAAGGGGUGAAUAGCUGCCCUCUCACCAGGAGCAUUUUGCUGAAAUGGACUCUUGGGCUCUUCCAUAUUUAAAAUCAAAAUAGAUAAAGCGCA
rnacentral:lncRNA from 1 species